CAGUAGCCGCGGGAAUACGUAGGUGGCAAGCGUUGUCCGGAAUUAUUGGGCGUAAAGGGCUCGCAGGCGGUUUCUUAAGUCUGAUGUGAAAGCCCCCGGCUCAACCGGGGAGGGUCAUUGGAAACUGGGAAACUUGAGUGCAGAAGAGGAGAGUGGAAUUCCACGUGUAGCGGUGAAAUGCGUAGAGAUGUGGAGGAACACCAGUGGCGAAGGCGACGCUCUGGUCUGUAACUGACGCUGAGGAGCGAAAGCGUGGGGAGCGAACAGGAUUAGAUACCCCAGUAGUCCCUGUCUCUUAUAC
rnacentral:rRNA from 1 species